rnacentral:lncRNA from 1 species
AAACACGAGCACCAGACCUGACUGGGUGGUUGAGGGAGCUCCUGGUGAAAUGUGCUGAGGCUUCUGCUGAGGUUUCUACCUCAGCUCCACGGCCUGGCCAGUUCAAUGGAUUGAAGAAAAUGUUCACGGAAGGAAGAUGAUUAAUUGAUCCAGAGGGCCUGUAGCAACUCUGUUUAACAUGCUAGAUGAGCCAGUCUUAUUCAGUGAUGACUAAGGAUCUAGAGAAAACUGGUGUCAGGUUGGUCUUCUUCUUCCCACCUAUUUUCAGUUGGCCUGCAGUUCCUAGGAUGUGUAUCCUGUAUGCUGGUCACCGGAAGAUAGGCAAAUUUUUGCUUUGUUGCUGGUUCUGGGACAACAGCCAUGAAUACAAAAGAUUAAAUGGAAGGCUCUGGAGCCCUGAGGAAUAGCAGUUACUAGACUGAAGGAACCUGAGUUUCUAGAUUGCGAUGUUGAGCAGAGUCCCUGCUAACCCAGGAAAACUCUGAUGUGAGAAAGAAGAAAACCCGGAUUGCACUAACUCACCGAGAUUUCGAAGUUUAGUUGUUCGGCGAUGAACUUGUCCUGAACAACAUAGAGGAACAGUGGGAAAUACAUGGAGUGUGCUUAUAAGAAGCUAUGGUAGGCAGGAUUUCAAGAUGUCCUUGUGAUCUCUGCCUCCUUGUGUUUCUCCCAUGACUAUGUCAUGUUCCACAGCAAAAGGGAUUUUGCAAUGUAUUAAGGGUACUGAACGGUUGACCUUAAGAUCGUGGGAUUAUCUGGGUGGGCCUAAUUUCAUCACAUGAGUCCUGUAAAAGAAGUGAAUUUUCUCUAUUUGGUAGCAGAAGAGGCAGUCAGAGACAUCUGAAGUGUGAGAGGGAUUCAGUGCUGAAAUGGAGAAGGUCACAUGGUAAGAACCUGAGAGUGGCUUCUGGUAGCUGAGAGUGAUCCUUGGCAAGAUAAUGGAACCUUAGUCCUAGAGCCUCAAGGAAAUUAAUUCUGCUGACAAUCUGAGGGAACUUUGAAGCAGAUCUUUUCCUAGUUGAGCCUCCAAGUAAGGAUUUAGCUAGCUAGCUGGUACUUUAAUUUGAGCCUUAUGAGUCUCUGAGCAGAGGACCCAGGGAAAUAAAGUCAGGCUCCUAAUGCAUGGUGAUGAUGACGUGAUAAGUGUGUUUUGUUAAGCUACUAAGUUUGUGGUAAUUUUUAAUGUAGCAAUAAAAAACUAAUGCAGAGAGUGAAAAGUGCUGUGUCUAAGAUAUGUGGCAAAAUCAGGGUUAGUCCAUG